AGAAAUGUUUUUUUUUGGGACAGUGACCUAAACUUCACUUCACCCUUGUCUAAGCAAACUAGCCAACAUUACCCUUUUCUGCCUCUUAUUUCCCCCCCUCCAUCACCUACCAUGAGCUCCCCACUUCUUCUACACAUGGGGUGGCUCCAAUCCCUCUUCUCUCCUCUCAAGAAGCUCUGGGUUCGUCUCCACUCCCCCCCUAAGAAGAGAAGAGGGAUAUACAUUCUGUACGAGGAUGUCAAGUCGUGUCCAUACGAGGAUGUUCAUGUGCUCUGGUCUAUACUAGUGGAGUCGCAUCGGCCUGCUUUGCCAGCACCACCCAAAUGAGCCUUCUUAUUAUACACAAAAGCACAAGAGAAUGGGAGUAAAGCUAAGCUAGCCGUGUAAAUAUAUAUAUGUCUGCAUUAUAUUAUUGCUUCAAGUUUUGCUCUUUUCUCCUUGGUUUGGGCUUUGGAUCUUUUAGUGAUCAAUAAGCCACUCUUAUUAUUAGAAAUGUUCUUAAAUUAUAAUUAACAUUAUUAUGCCUGCUUCUUCACUUAUUUCUUGUCUUUAUUUAAAGUAUUUGGCCUUGGGUUUUA